UGAGCCAGCUGUUGGGUGUUAGUGUGUAGCGCAUGUGUUUUUGAGUGUGAGUUCCUUUGUACUGAAUUGUGGGUGUAACUCUAUAUUCCCAGCGCUCUGGCCCUGGGAGGUCGUCUGCAGGAGGGCUCUUUACCCCUACAAACACACACAAACCAGAUUGGACUCAUAUCCCGACAUCCAAAAAUCUUGACUGAGAAGAACGGUUUGGCCAGACAGGAGGCAGACAGAAUGUCAGCGGAGGACUCGAGACGUGUGACGAGCAGGCACAGAAUAAGACAGACGCUGACUGUUUUACACUCUGUAUUUAUCGUUCCUGCAGUAAACAGAGCCGAGGCUACAUGCUGUUCUUUAUUAUGGUCUGCCCUACCAUUUCCCCCCCAUCGGGAACAGUCACAGAUGUAAAAGAAAACACUUUGUCCCCUAAGCUCAUAAAAUGUUUCAAACCAGCUGUACACUUAAAGUAAUAACACAAAUCUUGACCCAACAACUCCAGAAAGUGGAUAUGCAUAUGCGUUUUCAAGUAUUUUUACAUUGUAUCAAGCAAGGUUUAAUGUUUUGUACGGAUAUGAAUCAGUAUUUGGUGACAGAUUGGAUAUAGGCCGUGUAUUUGUGGAACGUCUGAUGUGUUUUCAGGGCGUUGUUUUUUUCAUACAUUGUGUGAGGGCAUGUAGAAUUAAGGAAACAGGAGGGUUCAGAUCUUUGGCAGAAGAAGCGUAAACGCCUUCCAAGCAGCAGGGAACUUUUAUAUUAGACUCUCAUAGCUGAGUUCUUACGUUUAACCCUGUGUGUGUGUGAAUUGUAACUCGGUUAGUCUCUCACAUACUGUAUUGGUCUUCAUCAAAAUGAUGGCAAAAGGUCAGCAAAAUAUAUUUGACUUUUUUAUGUCUUCAAAUUUCUAAUUUUAAAUUAAUGAAAUAUUUUGUCUAAAUUUCCAGUUAAAAAUCCUUUACACAACAUGA